rnacentral:rRNA from 1 species
UGGGGGGACCAUCCUCCAAGGCUAAAUACUCGUAAUCGACCGAUAGUGAACCAGUACCGUGAGGGAAAGGCGAAAAGAACCCCGGGAGGGGAGUGAAAUAGAUCCUGAAACCGCAUGCAUACAAACAGUGGGAGCCCCUGCACAAAGAGUCUUCGGGGUUCUUUGGAGGAGCGCGAAGCGCGACUCAAAAGAACAGCAAAGAUGAAAUAGAUCUUGUGCAGGCGAAGAACCCGGAGGGUUCUUCGUGCAGGGGUGACUGCGUACCUUUUGUAUAAUGGGUCAGCGACUUACGUUCAGUAGCGAGCUUAACCGAAUAGGGGAGGCGCAGCGAAAGCGAGUCUGAAUAGGGCGAUUCAGUUGCUGGGCGUAGACCCGAAACCAGAUGAUCUACCCAUGGCCAGGAUGAAGGUGGGGUAACACUCACUGGAGGUCCGAACCCACUAACGUUGAAAAGUUAGGGGAUGAGCUGUGGGUAGGGGUGAAAGGCUAAACAAAUCUGGAAAUAGCUGGUUCUCCCCGAAAACUAUUUAGGUAGUGCCUCAUAUGGACACUUCCGGGGGUAGAGCACUGUAAUGGUUGAGGGGGUCGUUUAGAUCUACCUCGCCAUAGCAAACUCCGAAUACCGGAAAGUGAUGUACGGGAGACAGACGGUGGGUGCUAACGUUCAUCGUCAAGAGGGAAACAACCCAGACCGCCAUCUAAGGCCCCCAAGCCGUGGUUAAGUGGAAAACGAGGUGGGAAGGCAUAGACAGCCAGGAGGUUGGCUUAGAAGCAGCCAUUCUUUAAAGAAAGCGUAAUAGCUCACUGGUCGAGUCGGCCUGCGCGGAAGAUUUAACGGGGCUAAAACCAUAUACCGAAUCUGCGGAUGUGCACGAAGUGCACGUGGUAGGGGAGCGUUCUGUAGGCCUGCGAAGGUGCAUUGAGAAGUGUGCUGGAGGUAUCAGAAGUGCGAAUGCUGACCUGAGUAACGAUAAUGAGGGUGAAAAACCCUCACGCCGGAAGUCCCAGGUUUCCUGCACGACGUUAAUCGGAGCAGGGUG